UGAGUGGCGAACGGGUGAGUAACACGUGAGUAACCUGCCCUCUUCUUUGGGAUAACGCCUGGAAACGGGUGCUAAUACUGGAUAUUCACUGAUCUUCGCAUGGGGGUUGGUGGAAAGGUUUUUUCUGGUGGGGGAUGGGCUCGCGGCCUAUCAGCUUGUUGGUGGGGUGAUGGCCUACCAAGGCUUUGACGGGUAGCCGGCCUGAGAGGGUGACCGGUCACAUUGGGACUGAGAUACGGCCCAG
rnacentral:rRNA from 1 species